rnacentral:rRNA from 1 species
UCGAGGAUCUUUUGCAAUGGGCGCAAGCCUGACAAAGCGACGCUGCGUGGAGGAUGAAGGCCUUCGGGUUGUAAACUCCUGUCAUUCGGGAACAAUUGCCGGUUGAUGAAUAGUCGAUCGGCUUGAUGGUACCGGAAGAGGAAGCCACGGCUAACUCUGUGCCAGCAGCCGCGGUAAUACAGAGGUGGCGAGCGUUGUUCGGAUUUACUGGGCGUAAAGGGUGCGUAGGUGGCUUUGUGUGUCGGACGUGAAAUCCCACUGCCUAACGGUGGAACUGCGUCCGAAACUGCGAGGCUUGGAGUGCAGGAGGGGAGAGCGGAAUACUCGGUGUAGCGGUGAAAUGCGUUGAUAUCGAGUAGAACACCGGUGGCGUAGGCGGCUCUCUGGAAUGCAACUGACACUGAGGCACGAAAGUCGGGGGAGCAAACAGG